rnacentral:rRNA from 1 species
UCAGGCCUAACACAUGCAAGUCGAACGGGAUUAGUUGUAUUUAUAUGACUAUGAGAGUGGCGCACGGGUGCGUAACACGUAUACAAUCUGCCCCAAACUGGAGAAUAGCCCGGCGAAAGUCGGAUUAAUACUCCAUAACAUUGCGAGAUGGCAUCAUCUUGUUAUUAAAGCUUCGGCGGUUUGGGAUGAGUAUGCGCAACAUUAGCUAGUUGGAGAGGUAAUAGCUCACCAAGGCUACGAUGUUUAGGGGGUCUGAGAGGAUUAUCCCCCACACUGGUACUGAGACACGGACCAGACUCCUACGGGAGGCAGCAGUAGGGAAUAUUGGGCAAUGGACGAAAGUCUGACCCAGCCAUGCCGCGUGCAGGAUGACGGCCCUAUGGGUUGUAAACUGCUUUUAUAUGGGAAGAAACCCCUCUACGUGUAGAGGGCUGACGGUACCAUAAGAAUAAGGAUCGGCUAACUCCGUGCCAGCAGCCGCGGUAAUACGGAGGAUCCAAGCGUUGUCCGGAUUUAUUGGGUUUAAAGGGUGCGUAGGCGGACUAUUAAGUCAGAGGUGAAAGUUUGCAGCUUAACUGUAAAAUUGCCUUUGAAACUGGUAGUCUUGAGUAUAGUUGAGGUAGGCGGAAUGUGUCAUGUAGCGGUGAAAUGCUUAGAUAUGAUACAGAACACCGAUUGCGAAGGCAGCUUACUAAACUGU